AAAUCAUUUAAGUGAUAUUUUGAGUGGGUCAGAUUAAAAAGAAUAAUUAAAAAUCCAACAAAUAAUUUCUCUAAAAUUUACAUAUAUUAUUUAAGUUUAUGUAAUGAAAAUAAAUAAGUAUUUAACUAACUAAUUAUAUUUUUAAUAUACCUUCAAUAUUUCUGGUGAAUUCUAAUAGAAAUAUUUGAUAAUUAUUUACUUGUACUGAUCUGUUUUAGAAACUAAAAUUAUUAAGUAUUUCCAACCAAUUUUCCUAAAUAAAGUUCCAACUUAAUAAAUGACAGUUUAAAUAAAUUGAGUAAAUUUCGCGGCUAAAGUGAUCACGUGUGCAGCUCCGCAGGAAAAAAAAAAUCUGCUUUCCUCAGCAGCGACGUCGACUAGCCAUACACCUCACAGCUCCUGGUAAGUAACGUUAGUCAGCUAAUCCUACUUACGUUUGUAACACUUUAUUAAAAAGUUAAUAAUUAUUAAGCAUUUUCUAACAAUUGUCUUUGUAUUUUACGUCAUAUUCAACAAGUUUCGUAGCUUAAUCGAAGUCACCUGAAGGACGGCUUUCCUCAGCAACGGCAAGACCCGCACUCCUCUCAUAUUGUGAAGUUUAACAAGUUUCGCGGCUCAAACAAGAGGCACCUGUCACUGAAGGACUGCUUUUCUCAGCAACGACGUGAACAGCAUUACUCGAAUUUCCUGGUUCAGCUGAUCUACCCGUCUUCGUACAAGCAGAGUUGGCAGAGGAGGUCAUAAAAAUCUACAUCCUUCGGAACAAUAAUGGGGCAGUCAGCGACGUAAUCUUGGGAAUCUCAGCAGAGCCUGUUGCCAUCUUUCAGGAGUCACAUUGGAUUUGAGAUAUCCCAAGACCCACAAAUACAGGUCCUUCUCCAAAAAUUAGCAUAUUGUGAUGAAGUUCAUUAUUUUCCAUAAUGUAAUGAUAAAAAUUAAACUUUCAUAUAUUUUAGAUUCAUUGCACACCAACUGAAAUAUUUCAGGUCUUUUAUUGUUUAAAUACUGAUGCUUUUGGCAUACAGCUCAUGAAAACCAUAAAUUCCUAUCUCAAAAAAAUAGCUUAUUUCAUCUGACCAAUAAAAGAAAAGUGUUUUUAAUACAAAAAAGUCAACCUUCAAAUAAUUGUUCACUUAUGCACUCAAUACUUGGUGGGGAAUCCUUUUGCAGAAAUGACUGCUUCAAUUCGGCGUGGCAUGGAGACAAUCAGCCUGUGGCACUGCUGAGGAGUUAUGGAGGCCCAGGAUGCUUCGAUAGCGGCCUUAAGCUCAUCCAGAGUGUUUUGUCUUGCGUCUCUUAACUUUCUCUUCACAAUAUCCCACAGAUUCUCUAUGGGGUUCAGGUCAGGAGAGUUGGUAGGCCAAUUGAGCACAGUAAUACCAUGGUCAGUAACCCAUUUACCAGUGUGAGCAGGUGCCAGGUCGUGCUGAAAAGCGAAAUCUUCAUCUCCAUAAAGCUUUUCAACAGAUGGAAACAUGAAGUGCUCCCAAAUCUCCUGAUAACUAGCUGCAUUGACCCUGCCCUUGAUAAAACACAGUGGACCAACACCAGAAGCUGACAUGGCACCCCAGACCAUCACUGACUGUGGGUACUUGACACUGGACUUCAGGCAUUUUGGCAUUUCCUUCUCCCCAGUCUUCCUCCAGACUCUGGCACCUUGAUUUCCAAAUGACAUGCAAAAUUAGCUUUCAUCCGAAAAAAGUACUUUGGACCACUGAUCAACAGUCCAGUGCUGCUUCUCUGUAGCCCAUUUCUUGCACACGCCUGUGCACGGUGGCUCUGGAUGUUUCUACUCCAGACUCAGUCCACUGCUUCCGCAGGUCCCCCAAGGUCUGGAAUCGGUCCUUCUCCACAAUCUUCCUCAGGGUCCGGUCACCUUUUCUCGUUGUGCAGCGUUUUUUGCCACACUUUUUCCUUCCCACAGACUUCCCACUGAGGUGCCUUGAUACAGCACUCUGGGAACAGCCUAUUCGUUCAGAAAUCUCUUUCUGUGUCUUACCCUCUCACUUGAGGGUGUCAAUGAUGGCCUUCUGGACAGCAGUCAGGUCGGCAGUCUUACCCAUGAUUACGGUUCUGAGUAAUGAACCAGGCGGGGAGUUUUUAAAAGCCUCAGGAAUCUUUUGCAGGUGUUUAGAGUUAAUUAGUUGAUUCAGAUGAUUAUGUUAAUAGCUCGUUUAGAGAACCUUUUCAUGAUAUGCUAAUUUUUUGAGAUAUGAAUUUUGGGUUUUCAUGAGCUGUAUGCCAAAAUCAUCAGUAUUAAAACAAUAAAAGACCUGAAAUAUUUCAGUUGGUGUGCAAUGAAUCUAGAAUAUAUGAAAGUUAAAUUUUUAUCAUUACAUUAUGGAAAAUAAUGAACUUCAUCACAAUAUGCUAAUAUUUUGAGAAGGACCCUGUACUCACUUGAGUUGUUCCAAAAACUGUUUCUUGAGCUGGAUUCUCCAAAACUCUGUUAAUGUUCAGAGGUUAAAAAAUUAUCUUCUUGCAUAGUAGUGGUUCAUGGUCAUCCCACAGAAUGGGUAUUCCUGAUGGAAGUGUUUCUGUUAUCUGAUUAAUUCUGUUGAAGACAUAGUUCACCCCAAAAGAUGAUGUUGUCAUAAUUUACUCUCCCUCGAUUUGUCCCAAACCUGUACGAGUUUCUUUCUUCUGUUGAACACAAAAGAUAUUUUAAGUGAAGUGACGUGACAUUCAGCCAAGUAUUAAAGAGUGUUGGUUAACGCAGUUAAAGGUUGCCAUUGACUUUGCAUAGUAUACUUUUUUUUUUUUUUUUCCUAUCAUGGAAGUCAAUGGCAAUUUUCAACUAUCUGUUAACCAACAUUCAUUAAAAUAUAUUUUGUGUUCAACAGAAGAAAGAAAUUCGUACAGAUUUGGGACAACCCGGGGGGGCGAGUACAUUAUGACAACAUCAUCUUUUUGGGUGAACUAUCCCUUUAAUAUUGAUGUAAGUGUUGCUUUUAUAUUUUUUUAUGGUUUAAUGUUGAGUGUGACUGCAAAUGGCUGGUAUGCACCAGGAACAAAGAUGUCAUUUCUCUUACGGCUAUCGUAUUUUACAUGUAAUCUACUUGAAUACUAAGAUGGAUUAAAUGUUUCAUAAGGUUUAAUCAUUUCCCUUAUGGCUACUUUACAGUUUUUAAUUUUUGCAAUCUACUGGAAUAUUAAAAUGGAUACAAUGUUUCAAAGGUUGAUUUUAGACUUUGUCUUAUGUUUAAUUGACAAAUAAAUUUUCAAUAAAAAAUGUGUUUCUUUCUUUAUUUGGUUUUAUUAUAUUAAUUAUAAAGGGUAAAUGGUGUAAAAAAAAAAAAGUGAAUGCAGCAUUUUGAUAAUUUAUAGUCCAAUAUUAAGUUAAAUUCACUUUUACAUGUAGUAAACGUAGCACAUUUUUUUUUGGUAAAAUUUCAUCCAAUAUUUCAAUUAUAUCUACUCAAUAUUUUUUGUUUAUUUUACAUAGAAUUACAGUUGUGGUGUUUUAUAAUUUUGAUUAUAUCCAAUUAAUUUUAUUUCUCAUAUAAAGUAAUUCAGUUACUCAGAUUUACUUAAUUUUUUUACUGACAAUUACUC